rnacentral:rRNA from 1 species
CCUACGGGUGGCAGCAGUGGGGAAUAUUGGACAAUGGGGGGAACCCUGAUCGAGCCAUGCCGCGUGUGUGAAGAAGGCCCUCGGGUUGUAAAGCACUUUCAGUGAGGAAGAACGCCUGGUGGUUAAUACCCAUCAGGAAAGACAUCACUCACAGAAGAAGCACCGGCUAACUCCGUGCCAGCAGCCGCGGUAAUACGGAGGGUGCGAGCGUUAAUCGGAAUUACUGGGCGUAAAGCGCGCGUAGGUGGCUUGAUAAGCCGGUUGUGAAAGCCCCGGGCUCAACCUGGGAACGGCAUCCGGAACUGUCAAGCUAGAGUGCAGGAGAGGAAGGUAGAAUUCCCGGUGUAGCGGUGAAAUGCGUAGAGAUCGGGAGGAAUACCAGUGGCGAAGGCGGCCUUCUGGACUGACACUGACACUGAGGUGCGAAAGCGUGGGUAGCAAACAGGAUUAGAUACCCUUGUAGUC